AACAAGGCGUACCUGCGGACCUGCGGAAGGAUCAUUACAGAGUUCGUGCCCUCGCGGGUAGAUCUCCCACCCUUGUGUAUUCCUUACAUUUUGUUGCUUUGGCAGGCCGUUGGUUCGCCAACCACCGGCUCUACGGGCUGGUGCGUGCCUGCCAGAGGACCCCCCAAACUCGGUUUGUUAGUGUCGUCUGAGUAACCAUAACAAUCGUUAAAACUUUUAGCAAUGGAUCUCAGAUCGGAA
rnacentral:misc_RNA from 1 species